GCCGAAGUGGUGAAAUUGGUAGACACGCUACCUUGAGGGGGUAGUAGCGAAAGCUGUGCUGGUUCGAGUCCAGUCUUCGGCACCA
rnacentral:tRNA from 1 species